rnacentral:lncRNA from 1 species
GGCUUUCCCUCCUUCAGCUCCAGAGGUCGGGUAAACACUGAGCUGGACACAAUCUGUCCCAGCGUGCACUCCAUGCCCCCGAGGAAGUCAUCGUCGCUGAGCUCAGCAGACUUGUUGUCGAUGUCGUACACGCCGAACUUCAGCUUCUGCACCUUCUCAAAGUAGUAGUCAACGAGCAGCUUCUUGGAGAAUUCCGGGUCAUGGCAGUUCUUAAUCCUCUCCGUGCGAUCUAACUCAGCCCAGCAGCCUCCCACGUCCUGCAGGAGGACGCACAGCGGGUCCGACUUGGAGCCGACGUCGCGGUCGAGGAGGCGGCGGCAGUUCACGGACAGCUGCACCCGGCUCACGCACUGCGCCAUCGAGGGAUCUGUACGGGAAAAAGGGUUAAGAACGGCGCUACACCGCCCCCGGGCCCCGCUCCGCGCCGAGCCCAGCGCCACCGACCGCGCAGCGCCACAAAAUGGCCGCCUCGCUGCGGCGCCGCCACCCGCCGCCAGGGAGGGGCGGGGCUGAG